rnacentral:rRNA from 1 species
CCUACGGGGAGCAGCAGUGAGGAAUAUUGGUCAAUGGACGGAAGUCUGAACCAGCCAUGCCGCGUGCAGGAAGACGGCUCUAUGAGUUGUAAACUGCUUUUGUACAAGGGUAAACCUGAAUACGUGUAUUCAGCUGAAAGUACUGUACGAAUAAGGAUCGGCUAACUCCGUGCCAGCAGCCGCGGUAAUACGGAGGAUCCAAGCGUUAUCCGGAUUUAUUGGGUUUAAAGGGUGCGUAGGCGGAUUGAUAAGUUAGAGGUGAAAUGUCCGAGCUUAACUCGGGAACUGCCUCUAAUACUGUUGAUCUAGAGAGUAGAUGCGGUAGGCGGAAUGUAUGGUGUAGCGGUGAAAGGCUUAGAGAUCAUACAGAACACCGAUUGCGAAGGCAGCUUACCAAUCUAUAUCUGACGUUGAGGCACGAAAGCGUGGGGAGCAAACAGGAUUAGAUACCCCAGUAGUC